UACGAAGGGGGCUAGCGUUGCUCGGAAUGACUGGGCGUAAAGGGCGCGUAGGCGGAUGGCACAGUCAGAUGUGAAAUUCCCGGGCUUAACCUGGGGGCUGCAUUUGAUACGUGUGAUCUAGAGUGAGGAAGAGGGUCGUGGAAUUCCCAGUGUAGAGGUGAAAUUCGUAGAUAUUGGGAAGAACACCGGUGGCGAAGGCGGCGACCUGGUCCUUGACUGACGCUGAGGCGCGAAAGCGUGGGGAUCAAACAGG
rnacentral:rRNA from 1 species